UUCAUCCUACGGGGCGCAGCAGUCGGGAAUAUUGCACAAUGGAGGGAACUCUGAUGCAGUGACGCCGCGUGCAGGAAGAAGGUUUUCGGAUUGUAAACUGCUUUAGAUAGGGAAGAAGAAAAGACAGUACCUAUAGAAUAAGCUCCGGCUAACUACGUGCCAGCAGCCGCGGUAAUACGUAGGGAGCGAGCGUUAUCCGGAAUUAUUGGGUGUAAAGGGUGCGUAUACGGGAACUUAAGUUAGUUGUGAAAUCCCUUAGCUCAACUAGGGAAUGGCAACUGAAACUGGGAUUCUUGAGUGCAGGG
rnacentral:rRNA from 1 species